UACGUAGGUGGCAAGCGUUGUCCGGAAUUAUUGGGCGUAAAGCGCGCGCAGGCGGUCCUUUAAGUCUGAUGUGAAAGCCCACGGCUCAACCGUGGAGGGUCAUUGGAAACUGGGGGACUUGAGUGCAGGAGAGAAGAGUGGAAUUCCACGUGUAGCGGUGAAAUGCGUAGAGAUGUGGAGGAACACCAGUGGCGAAGGCGGCCCCCUGGGCCGUACCUGACGCUGAGGCGCGAAGGCUAGGGGAGCGAACGGG
rnacentral:rRNA from 1 species